AACGAACGCUGGCGGCAUGCCUAACACAUGCAAGUCGAACGAGCCCUUCGGGUCUUGUGUCGCACGGUUGCGUCACGCGUGGGAACCUUCCCUUAGGUUCGGCAUAACUCCCCGACAGGGGUGCUAAUACCGGACAAUGUCUUCGGCCCAAAGAUUUUUCGCCUUUGGAUGUUCCCGCGUUGGAUUCGCUCUUUCUUAGGGUAAUAGCCUACCACGGCGUGGAUGCAUAGCUGGUUUGAGAGAAAGAUCAGCCACACUGAGACUAAGACACGGCCUAGAAUCCUACGGGAGGGAGGAGAGGGGAAUAGAGGAAAAUGGGGGGAGGGAUGAAGGAGCAAGGCCGGGUGAGCGAUGAAAGCAUGAGGGUAGUAAAGCGCAAGUACCCGGGAAGAUAAUGACGGUACCGAGAGAAUAAGCUCCGGCUAACUACGUG
rnacentral:rRNA from 1 species